GGAGCGGCCCCGGCCCGGCGCGGGAGCUGCGGCCGAGCCCGCACGGGGCAGCGCCCCCGAAGAACACGCUGCGAGCUGUGCCUGCAAGGGCCGGGAACCAAGACACGCGGGUGGGACCUGAAGAAAGGCAGCGCUUGGGAGAGGCUGGCUGGACAGCAGUGAACAGUCGCUCAGUCCAGCCGCCAGGAAUCGUGCAAAGGAAAUGCAGCUUGACCUUUUUAACCUGGUGCCAGAUGCUGUGCUAGGACAUGGACCGCCAACACUGGAUUAACCUUGCCUAUUAGCUAUGUUUCUGGGAGGAAGAGCAAGUACACGGUUCACAAAUAUACCAAAUAACAACCAAAUAUACCAAAUUUCAACCUGAUGGAUGCAAGAAUACCACUUUUUGAACAAAUAUUGAGCAGAAUAAACAGGUUUAUCCCCUUUGGCUCCACGUUUACCAUCACUGAAAUGAAAUUAAAAACUGUAACAAUGAAACAGCAUUUUCUCUGGUUUGUGUUUUUUUGUUCUUUUCUUUUAAACAAAGCAUUUAAGACAACUUUAAAAAGCAAUCUUACCUGAUUAGUGUUCUUCUGCCAUAGGCACAGGGACCAGAGAACCGACAAAGGAUUACAGAAAUAAAGCUAAUUCACUAGUGAUUAAUGUAUCCAGUGAAACUAUGCUGCAUUGAUAACACAAUACAGGCAAACCAUGUUGGAUACAUUGAAAUCACAAAGGAAAAAGGGACUAAAAAUGGUAGGAAUUGGUAGAAAACUGAUGUGAAAAAAAUAAAACUUAGAUCCUAUAAUACACACUGGGCUGUAAAACUAAUUUCUAAGGACUGUAUUAUCCAGGAGCUUUACAGUGUUAAACCUCAGUAGGAUCAGAUUUUAAACUAGGUUGUCAACUUUUAAAAAAAACUUACCUCAAAUUUCAUAUACUUUUAAAGAAAGUUUACAUACUGAAGUGGUUGAUACUUACAGGUUAUCUUAGAUGUUCCAAUAGAAAUUUCUUUAGUUGAACUCUUGCUUUUUCACCACUCUCAAAAACUUAGUUUAUGGUGAGAGUUCUCAAGAGUGUGAGUUUCUUUCUUUUAUAAAAAAUAUAUUCACAGAGGUGUAAAUACACACAAGUUUUGGUAUAUUAAAAUCCUUAAGUCCACUUCCUUAAAA